rnacentral:tRNA from 1 species
UCACCUUCCUUGGAAGACUGACACACGAGCGGUCGAUUCGAUCUAUUUCUUUAUCUCCCCAUGAAUCGUAUGUU